CCACAAUGGCGCCCACAAUAUUAUGGCGCCCACACGUAUGUCUCUUUUAAGCUCGAUCGCGCGCUUGGCUCUCAAUCGCGAUUUUCUACCGCAUUCUUUCUAGGUAGGCUUUAGAUCGAUUCUCUUGCAUUUUACCCCGGAUUCUUGCGUAGUUCUCAGCUGCAAGAAGGAAAAAAAGAUAUAGAUAGAAUUUCUUAGUACUCCUUUAAAGUCGAACGUAGUUUCUGACAACUCACACAGAUCUUAGAGAUUUCUAAAAUCCUCAAAGAAAGUAUAAAAGAGAGCGCCUCAGGAGGGAGAAAACAUACUAGAGUACGCAAGCUUUUGCAAAGUGGAUGAUGGAAUCAUCCCACCAUGCUUUCUUUCUAAUCGCAAGUGCCUUCCUUUUUUCUCCUUAUUCUUUGCUUUCUCUUUGUUCUCCGUUUGAUUUGAUUCAAACCGAGCUGACAUAUUCUUCGUGCUCCUCCUUGUUGUCAGGAAUUGCCGGCGGUGCCGCGCUCGAUUCAACGUAGCCGCCAUACACAUACGAUACGAAUCCCCAGCAGGAGAGGAGCAGAGCCAUGACUUUAAGCCCACCAAAAGCGUCAUGGAAGAAGAUAUAUGCAAACACUGCUCCCACUGGGAUCACCACGGUAAGAAUCACUCCAGCCAGCAGCGACGAUGAGAGAAAAAUAACACCCAUUGUUCCCAGGAACGCAGCUUGCCAGGCCAGAGUGGAGCACAACAAAGUCACGAAGUAGGCGAGACUUCCGGCCUUGAACACCGCGGCCUCGACGUGAA
rnacentral:lncRNA from 1 species